rnacentral:rRNA from 1 species
UACGUAGGUGGCAAGCGUUGUCCGGAUUUACUGGGCGUAAAGAGCGCGCAGGCGGUCGUUCAAGUCGCGUGUGAAAGCCCCCGGCUCAACUGGGGAGGGUCACGCGAUACUGAUCGACUGGAAGGCAGGAGAGGGUAGUGGAAUUCCCGGUGUAGUGGUGAAAUGCGUAGAUAUCGGGAGGAACACCAGUGGCGAAGGCGGCGAUCUGGGAAGAUACUGACGCUGAGGUGCGAAAGCGUGGGGAGCAAACAGG